rnacentral:rRNA from 1 species
GACGGGGCCGCACAAGCGGAGGAACAUGUGGUUUAAUCGAUGAUACGCGAGGAACCUUACCUGGGCUUAAAUGUAGAGUGCAUUUUUAGAGAUAGAAAUUCCCUUCGGGGCUUUCUGCAAGGUGCUGCAUGGUUGUCGUCAGCUCGUGCCGUGAGGUGUCGGGUUAAGUCCCAUAACGAGCGCAACCCUUAUCGUUAGUUGCCAUCUGGUAAUGCAGGGGACUCUAGCGAAACUGCCACCGUAAGGUGAGAGGAAGGUGGGGAUGACGUCAAAUCAGCACGGCCCUUAUGUCCAGGGCUACACACGUGUUACAAUGGUCGGUACAGAGGGCAGCUACCUGGUGACAGGAUGCUAAUCUCGAAAACCGGUCUCAGUUCGGAUCGAAGUCUGCAACUCGACUUCGUGAAGCUGGAUUCGCUAGUAAUCGCGCAUCAGCUAUGGCGCGGUGAAUACGUUCCCGGGCCUU